rnacentral:rRNA from 1 species
GACAGAGGGGGCAAGCGUUGCUCGGAAUUACUGGGCGUAAAGGGCGCGUAGGCGGGAUGGCAAGUCGGUCGUGAAAUCCUUCGGCUCAACCGAAGAACGUCGAUCGAUACUGCUGUUCUUGAGGGUUGCAGAGGAGACUGGAAUUCCCGGUGUAGCGGUGAAAUGUGUAGAGAUCGGGAGGAACACCGGUGGCGAAGGCGGGUCUCUGGGCAGUUCCUGACGCUGAGGUGCGAAAGCGUGGGGAGCAAACAGG